GACGAACGCUGGCGGCGUGCUUAACACAUGCAAGUCGAACGGAAAGGCCCUGCUUUUGUGGGGUGCUCGAGUGGCGAACGGGUGAGUAACACGUGAGUAACCUGCCCUUGACUUUGGGAUAACUUCAGGAAACUGGGGCUAAUACCGGAUAGGAGCUCCUGCUGCAUGGUGGGGGUUGGAAAGUUUCGGCGGUUGGGGAUGGACUCGCGGCUUAUCAGCUUGUUGGUGGGGUAGUGGCUUACCAAGGCUUUGACGGGUAGCCGGCCUGAGAGGGUGACCGGCCACAUUGGGCCUGAGAUACGGCCCAGACUCCUACGGGAGGCAGCAGUGGGGAAUAUUGCACAAUGGGCGGAAGCCUGAUGCAGCAACGCCGCGUGCGGGAUGACGGCCUUCGGGUUGUAAACCGCUUUCGCCGGUGACGAAGCGUGAGUGACGGUAAUGGGUAAAGAAGCACCGGCUAACUACGUG
rnacentral:rRNA from 1 species